UCCAUCAACAAAUAGCUUCAAUGCUGUAUUUGUUAACUGCCAUAAGUAUUUGUUUUUGACUUUUUUGCAGGUGUCAUGAGUAGUGAAAUUUCAGCCAUCUCAGCUUCAUCAAACACCAUAAAAGGCCUGAUAUCAUUGACCCCGCUCUGCUGAGGCCAGAGCGUCUUGACCAGCUGAUCUACAUUCCACUUCCUGUUGAGCAGUCUAGGCUCCAGAUCUUCAAGGCCUGCCUUAGGAAGUCCCCUGUGGCGAAGGAUGUGGACUUGAAUGCUCUUGCUAAGUACACGCAAGGGUUCAAUGGAG